AUGUGGCUGAUUUUAUCAAUGUGUGCACUGGUUAAAGCUUUCCAUGCGGACUUCUCGGAAACAGGAUCUGGUUCUGCGGACUCAGAGAGAUUCAACACACAUCUGAACAUGUUUACACAAAGAGUGGAUUUGCUUGAGCAGCUUUCUGGUUUGGUAUCAAACAGCAGAAACGUUAGCCUCUAUGAGGAGGAUCAAGGUUGCCCAGUGCUGGACAUUGGCCUGUACUCCACACUCACUAUGCCCAGCCAUGAAGCAUUUGGAUCAAGCUUUGCAGAUGAGUUCAGUGUGCUGAUUCAACUGCGAAGCUCUCAGGACGUCGAGCGAAGUCUGUUGACUUUGCUGAACUUCUACAAUCACAUUUUACUCCAGAUCCGAAUUGGCCCACACAGCAUCACCUUCAUCACCACUCAACGCCGGGACUAUGAGUUUUCAGUGUCAGGACUGGCAGACUCGCAGUGGCACUGGAUCUCGAUUGGGGUUGCGUUUGAAUGGCUGGCUGUAUAUGUGGACUGCGUGCUGGUGGAGAAAGUCAGCUGGAUGUACCCGUACAUGGGCAUCACUACAGAUGGUCUACUUAUGGUCGGCGGCAUCCUGGAAGGGUUUGAGACCCCUUUUGAGGGAGAGCUGAGACAGAUGACCUUCAUAAUGGGAGAUGCAAAUGCUGCCAAGGAUCAUUGUGAGCUUCAUCAGCAUAUGUGUGGACACAGCCUUUUUAAGAUGGAAAGUAGCGCUGAGGGCCCUUUGCCACCCUCAGCUGGCUCAACAGCAGACACAACGUUCACAUCAGAUCCCUCCACUGCCACAGAUGACACAGCCAAUAUGCAUUCAGUUCCCGAGCUCAGGCCUGAACCCAGAGAAUCACAUGGUUUGCAUAAAAGCUCAGAGAAACAGUUCCACGGUGAGUAAUUAUGCAGCUAUGAAUGGACAAAGCCAGAGUACAAUGUGGGGAGAAUGAACCUCAGCUGGAGAAGACGGAUGACUUCAGAGGUCAGGAAAUUGAAUAAAUGGGUAAGAAGGGAUCCCUAGGUCCUCUCAUUUGUCCUUAUAAAGCUGUUGCUGUAUUUUCCUUCAUGGGGAGGGCGAUGAUAAAUUAUCAUCAUGGGAACCGUCCUGUUUCAGCGCAGUGCUGUAACAGAGAGAAGCUGUGCCGAGAUGGUGGGUCGUGUUUGAUAAACGCCCCAUCUGGGAAAGAGCGGGCAGCUUGAGAGUUUGCUGGCGCACUCCAGGAACAGCUCCAAUGCUUGCAAAUUGCCUGGAAAUUCAUUAGACUCCUUUAUUGCUUUGCACUUGAGGUGAGCUCUGUGCACAGCAAGGCAUUCGUUCAGAAGUUUACUGGGCUUAUAUUUGACAUAUAUUAGGAUUCGACUGCAUUUAUGAUUGCGGCUACAAUGUUGGACACUGUCUGUAUAGGUGGCUGUGGGUGUGGGCUCUGAUACUUGCAGCUUUAAUGAGACGUCCUGCCCAUGUAAAAACACCCACCUGGAGGACCAAAAAAGACUUUCUUCCAAUGACGGCCGUUCAUACUAAGACAGUAUUAUUUUAAAAAGGACCAAAUUCUGAAUACACUGAUUGAUGCAAAGAUGUAAAGUUUAACAGUUUCACUCGGAACACAAUGUGCU
ensembl:lincRNA